GUCAGGCGGUCAAAGGAUACAGUCCCGGCUCCAGAACGCCGCGGCACCGGGACGGGAGGGGCCCGCCACGUCCGCCAUCUUGAAACAACCGCCACUUGGGGCGUCGCGCCGGGGCCGACACGCCUCGGCCUGCAGGCUCGGUCCCCAUUGGCCGCGCCACGCAGAGGCCCGCCCCCGCCUGCGCGGCCGGCCCCUGCGGGGCGAGAGGGUCGGGGCUAAAGGGAAGCUACGUCCCGGAGGUGCAGUGUGGGGCAGCGGGCGGGGCCGCGGGAACCGGCGCCCCACGGAGCUGCUGCUGUCGGACCAACCCCGGGCCCCCGUCAUCACUGCACCGCGCUCUCAGACGCCGAGAACUACCGUUCCCGGCAUGCUCAAGUUCAUGACUUGGCCUCGGCGCUGAGGCGGGGUCCGGCCCUCCACGCGCUCCCGCCGCGCGCGGAUCGGGUUCGCGAGCCAUGGAGGAGGAGGCAUCGCCCCCGGGGCUGGGCUGCAGCAAACCGCACCUGGAGAAGCUGACCCUGGGCAUCACGCGCAUCCUAGAAUCUUCCCCAGGUGUGACAGAGGUGACCAUCAUAGAAAAGCCUCCUGCUGAACGUCAUAUGAUUUCUUCCUGGGAACAAAAGAAUAACUGUGUGAUGCCUGAAGAUGUGAAGAACUUUUACCUGAUGACCAAUGGCUUCCACAUGACAUGGAGUGUUAAGCUGGAUGAGCACAUCAUUCCACUGGGAAGCAUGGCAAUUAACAGCAUCUCAAAACUGACUCAGCUCACCCAGUCUUCCAUGUAUUCACUUCCUAAUGCACCCACCCUGGCAGACCUGGAGGACGAUACACAUGAAGGUAGGAAGAAGAUGCCAAGCCAGUGAUGAUCAGCCAGAGAAGCCUCACUUUGACUCUCGCAGUGUGAUAUUUGAGCUGGAUUCAUGCAAUGGCAAUGGGAAAGUUUGCCUCGUCUACAAAAGUGGGAAACCAGCAUUAGCAGAAGACACUGAGAUCUGGUUCCUGGACAGAGCGUUAUACUGGCAUUUUCUCACAGACACCUUUACUGCCUAUUACCGCCUGCUCAUCACCCACCUGGGCCUGCCCCAGUGGCAAUAUGCCUUCACCAGCUAUGGCAUUAGCCCACAGGCCAAGCAAUGGUUCAGCAUGUACAAACCUAUCACCUACAACACAAACCUGCUCACAGAAGAGACCGACUCCUUUGUGAAUAAGCUAGAUCCCAGCAAAGUGUUUAAGAGCAAGAACAAGAUCGUAAUCCCAAAACAGAAAGGGCCUGUGCAGCCUGCAGGUGGCCAGAAAGGGCCCUCAGGACCCUCCGGUCCCUCCACUUCCUCCACUUCUAAAUCCUCCUCUGGCUCUGGAAACCCCAUCCGGAAGUGAGCUCCCUCCAACUCCCUACCAGCUCCAGAGUGGUAGUUUCCAUACAUAGAUGGCCCUAGGGGUGACCUCCAGUUUUGUGUGUGGAACAAUAGGCCUCUUUCUAGCUGAAUGACCAAAAUUGUAAGCCUUUUAGUCCCACCGACAUUAGCCAGGCUCGUAGUGAGGCCUCCACAGCAGGUUGUGCUGUCCCCUGCCUCUGGAAGCAAUGGGGAAUUUGGAAUCUUGUGUAAGUGCCCAAAUAAGUCUAAUGAGUGUUUUCCUCUUCUUCAGCACUCAACCCUCAAUCCUUUAGCACUGAUUAGAGAAGUCCCCCAAAGAAACCACUGGUUUUGACCCAUGAAGCAUUAGAACUGCAUCGUUCAUUCAGGAGCCACUAGUCACAUAUGACUAUUUAAAUUUAAAUUAUAUGAAAAAUUCAUUUCUUCAAUUGCAUUAGCCACAUUUUGAGUAUUCAUGUGGCUGGUAGAUUCUGUAUUAGCACAAAGAUAUGGAACAUUUCCAUCACCACAGAAAGUUCUGUUGGACAGUACUGCAUUAGAAUAUUUUCAUACUGCUCUUCCUCAAUUUUUGUUGUUAAAUAAUGUUGAUGUCUUCAUUGGAUGGGUCAUAAUGUUCCAUGAAACCUCUCAAAUACACAAUUGCAUGUUCUUUGUAUCCCUUACCACAAAUAUCUCGCUCUGCUCAUUUCUUUUGUAGCUUCCUAUAAAGUUUGUCUUCCUCAUCAGUUUCCAGUGAAGUUUCUUGCUUCCAGUUUUGUGUUAUGAUGUUUGUACAUGUUCCACAAUUAUCUUCCUUAUUAACUUUUUAAAGAAAGUGUACUUCUGCUGUACUUUAUUCUUACCGUUUAAAAACAAAAAAUUCCCAAACAUUGCUUUGCACGACUCUUCAUAAAGAAAGUUUUAAUGGUGCCAGUCACUGUUAACAGAAGCUUUCCACCUGCUCUGCCUGCCUCUUCACAGCUCUGAGUUGUCCAGCCUCACUUUGCCUGGUCCCUGGCCAUCCUUAGGACGAGCAGUCUCCUGCUUAGAACAGGGUGGGCUCCCAAGAGUUCCUUUGGAAGCAAGUUGCCUGUAAUUCAGAAAUCAUUUUCCCAUUGACAUAUGGGGGAACCUCUAGCCCACAUAUGCUUAAUAUAUGACACAAGAUAAAUCUGACAUACCUACUACAUUUAAUGACAUUUUUACAGAGAAGGUUGCUCAGAUUUUCAAUUAGGAAUGCCUAUUUAUUUCCUCCCUCUACAGUCCUGGCUGUGGGCAGAAGCAAGGCCUUCACCCUACUUCCCAACAGGGAAAGUGGGGAGUCACCCACCUAGCCCCAAGUUCUUUGGGUGGCUGCAGUUUUUGUACUGAAGUCCCAGAGGUUAGAGAAUUAGGAGUUUUGAGGAAUGAGGUGCAGGGGCCUGUACCAUCUGCACACUUCAGUCCCAGCUGGCUCACUCUCUCUUUCCUGACUUCUCCCUACCCUGGUGAUUGGCCAGACUUCCUUCCUUUGCACUGUGUCUACCUGCUAAUCAACCCAGGGUUUCCCUCUUCCAAACCCACUGGGGACCUAAGAGCAGUCCACAGGAUUCUCCACAUGUACUUCUUUUGCUCUGAAACAUGUUUUUUGAUUGUUGACAAUAGUGAUUGAUAGAUAUUCAUGAGAAAGUGCCUUCGAUAUCUCCUCCACCUACCACUUUCCAUAGCCCCUGUGGAAAACCAAGAUGAAGAGUUAGUUAGCCUUCAAGGAUCAGGGCAAGCUCUAACUGGCUGCUUCCCCAUAUUUGUAAUAGUUCAGUCUUGAAAUAUCAGUGCUUAAAAGCCUUUGGGAGCAUAAAUUGAGCUUCGUAUUAACAGCUUCUUCAUUUGCUUUAAAAUAGCGAGACCUCUUACCUUUGCAAUCCCAAAAUAACCACUUAGUUAUAAUUCAGUGUGGUCAUUUAAACGUGUGUGUGUGUGUGUGUGUGUGUGUGUGUGUGUGUGUGUGUGUGUUUUAACCAUAACAUGACUGUCACAUAUUCUCUAGGAGACAUUUUGGCCCUUUUAAUUUAAUUGUUUAGGUUAUUAUACUUCAAGGAUUUAUAAAUGUGCAACAAUUCAUAGAGUGGCAGAAAAGGAUAUAGAGAGACCAAGUCGUCCAGGACAAUAGCUGGAGGUUAGUCUUCCGGAAGUAUUUUUCUUGGCAGAACUGAUCAAAGGAAGAGCCAACGGCACUGGAUAAGAGAUUCUAGCAUUUGGCUGCUUCUCCAAGACAAGCGAGGUUAGAAGGGAGUUGAGAAGUUAUGUCAUCUUCCACUGUAGCAGAUACCCCUUUUUUUGUACUUGGGAAUCCCCCAAAUCACAGCAUUUCUAAAUCAGCCCUGGAUUCCACAAGUGAAGCAGCAGAGGAACCGGAAGGUCAGCGGUGCCACUCAAAUCCGUGGCAAUCAAGUGGGAGUUCUCAAAAGGUUAUCAAAGGAAGGGGGUUAUGAUAAGGAAAGGCUCAAGACGUGCCUCAGAAGGAGUGAGCAGGGAAGAGCAGGACUGACUCCACGCUAUGCGGGAUCCAGUACAAAAUGAAGAUGUGAGGCUUUUGUGCAAACAGCAGGAAAACAUUACCUUUACAGGUACUAAAAUGUAAUGUUUUUCCUUUCUUCCAUAGUGUCUUUCUCAACUUGUUAUGGCUGUGUUUUUUAUUUGCUACUUAAUGCUGUUCUAACUAAAAACUUAAAUGUUAAA